GGGCCCGCACAAGCGGUGGAGCAUGUGGUUUAAUUCGAUGCAACGCGAAAAACCUUACCAGGCCUUGACAUCCAGAGAACUUACCAGAGAUGGUUCGGUGCCUUCGGGAACUCUGUGACAGGUGUUGCAUGGCUGUCGUCAGCUCGUGUCGUGAGAUGUUGGGUUAAGUCCCGUAACGAGCGCAACCCUUAUCCUUACUUGCCAGCACGUAAUGGUGGGAACUUUAAGGAGACUGCCGGUGACAAACCGGAGGAAGGAGAGGAUGAUGUCAAGUCAUCAUGGCCCUUACGGCCUGGGCUACACACGUGCUACAAUGGGAAGUACAAAGGGUCGCAAUACCGCGAGGUGGAGCAAAUCCCAAAAAACUUUUCGUAGUCCGGAUUGGAGUCUGCAACUCGACUCCAUGAAGUCGGAAUCGCUAGUAA
rnacentral:rRNA from 1 species